CAGGAGGAAGUUUUCGGAUGGAAUCCGGUAGAUCGAGUGGCGGACGGGUGAGUAACGCGUGGGGAACCUGCCUCAUACAGGGGGAUAACAGUUGGAAACGACUGUUAAUACCGCAUAAGACCACAGAGUCGCAUGACUCAGGGGUAAAAACUCCGGUGGUAUGAGAUGGACCCGCGUUCGAUUAGCCAGUUGGCGGGGUAACGGCCCACCAAAGCGACGAUCGAUAGCCGAUUUGAGAGAAUGACCGGCCACAUUGGGACUGAGACACGGCCCAAACUCCUACGGGAGGCAGCAGUGGGGAAUAUUGCACAAUGGGGGGAACCCUGAUGCAGCGACGCCGCGUGAGUGAAGAAGUAUUUCGGUAUGUAAAGCUCUAUCAGCAGGGAAGAAGAUGACGGUACCUGAGUAAGAAGCCCCGGCUAACUACGUGCCAGCAGCCGCGGUAAUACGUANGGGGCAAGCGUUAUCCGGAUUUACUGGGUGUAAAGGGAGCGCAGACGGCUAUGCAAGUCUGAAGUGAAAGCCCGGGGCUCAACCCCGGGAUUGCUUUGGAAACUGUGUAGCUAGAGUGUCGGAGAGGUAAGCAGAA
rnacentral:rRNA from 1 species